CUACGGGAGGCACCAGUGAGGAAUUUUGGGCAAUGGGGGCAACCCUGACCCAGCGACGCCGCGUGCAGGAUGACAGCCCUUCGGGUUGUAAACUGCUUUCGGAUGGGAAGAAAAGGGAGGUUUCCUCCCCGAGACUGUACCAUAAGAAGAAGCACCGGCAAACUACGUGCCAGCAGCCGCGGUAAUACGUAGGGUGCGAGCGUUAUCCGGAAUUACUGGGUAUAAAUGGUGUGUAGGCGGGCUUGUGCGUCGAUGGUUAAAGACCCGGGCUUAACUCGGGGAGUGCCUUCGAUACGGCAAGUCUUGAAUGUGAGAGAGGAUGAUGGAAUUCCUGGCGUAGCGGUGAAAUGCGUAGAUAUCAGGAGGAACACCGGUAGCGAAGGCGGUCAUCCGGCUCAUUAUUGACGCUGAGGCACGAAAGCGUGGGGAGCGAACAGGAUUAGAUACCCGCGUAGUC
rnacentral:rRNA from 1 species